GACGAACGCUGGCGGCGUGCUUAACACAUGCAAGUCGAACGCUGAAGCUCAGCUUUUGUUGGGUGGAUGAGUGGCGAACGGGUGAGUAACACGUGAGUAACCUGCCCCCUUCUUUGGGAUAACGCCCGGAAACGGGUGCUAAUACUGGAUAUUCACUGGUCUUCGCAUGGGGGUUGGUGGAAAGGGUUUUUCUGGUGGGGGAUGGGUUCGCGGCCUAUCAGCUUGUUGGUGGGGUGAUGGCCUACCAAGGCUUUGACGGGUAGCCGGCCUGAGAGGGUGACCGGUCACAUUGGGACUGAGAUACGGCCCAGACUCCUACGGGAGGCAGCAGUGGGGAAUAUUGCACAAUGGGCGCAAGCCUGAUGCAGCGACGCCGCGUGAGGGAUGGAGGCCUUCGGGUUGUGAACCUCUUUCGCUCAUGGUCAAGCCGCAACAAUGGUUGUGGUGAGGGUAGUGGGUAAAGAAGCGCCGGCUAACUACGUG
rnacentral:rRNA from 1 species